GGUAUUAUGUACACCUCCACUUGGGAACGACAACGCCCUCGUUGUGCCUGGAAUCCUAGGAAAUCCACUAUUACGCCUAACGAGAUGUGGGUAGCCCCAAUGUUACAUCUAGCCUGGACACAAAUCACGUAUUGGAGACUCCAUUAUUACGCUUGACGACUUGUUGGUAGCUCCGGUGAUAUAGAUCCAGAAUCCUCCCCCGUUAGGCGACUAACCUUGGAUUAAUUAUCCACGAUCAGCACGCGGUCACAUGGUUGCUCUGAUACCAUUAGGGGUGUACAAAAAUAUACGAUUCAAAAAUUCGUUAUCCGAUCCAAAAUUUCGGAUAUCCGAUCCGAAUUUAAGGUUUCGGAUAUUUCGGAUCGAACAUUCGAAAAAAAUUCGGAUUUUUGGAUCGGAUACGGAUCAAGCUUUUUCCUUAUUGAAAUCCGAAAUAUUUUAAAAAGUAAAAUAUAAAAAACUGUAAAUUUCUUUUGGGCAGUGGGCUUCGAUUUUGCACUGCUCCAUUUCUUUCUUUCUUUGACUCAACUCUCCUUCUCUACUCUCACUAGUAAACCCUAAUAUUCACUAAGCCACCCACCACCUACCAGAGUACCAACCACGACAGCCAGGCAGGUAGUGGCAGCCACCCACCACGGUGCCACGUACCAGCCACUCUCACUAUCCCUCGCACUCUCUCUGUCCGUCGCACUCUCACAACCUCACCCGCUCGGCGCAACACCGCCACCAGUUCACCAUCCCACUCUCACUGAACGGCGACAACGAUGGAGUCACGAAAUGAUCCAUCAAGUUUUGAUGAUAAUCAAGAUCCCGAUGACUAUGAUGAUGAAUUAUAGGAAGAAUGGCAAACUAAAAAUACGAGAAAAAGACCUUGUAGUGCUGGCAAUAAGGAGCCCAAUUAAGAACUGCAAGCGGAAGAAAACAUCAAAAUAGUGGGAUCAUUUUCAUGAGACCGAUGAUCCUAUUGUCGCUUCUUGCAAUAAUUGGGUUUGAGUCCAAUCACGUGACUAAAGAUACGUCGCUAGACAUGUGAGGGCGAUCCUAGUUGGUCAAACUUGAGGCGGAUCCGGACGUACUGUGGACUAUCUACGGAGGGACGACAUUUGGAGUACUAAAGACUUGUUCUUGUUCGGUUCGGGCGCAGCUAGGGAGAGCACGCUACAAAGUAGGGCGGCGUUGAAGAAAAUCACAGCACACACACUCACCCUUCUCUGUCGUGCCGCCCACCUCUGCCGCGCCGCCGCUGCGCUAUGCUCUUCCUCCUUUCCCCACCGCUGCCGCGCUCUGCUCUCCCCUUAUCACUUCUAGAUCUAGCCUUAGCCAUCGCACCGGUAACAAGAUAUAUUUCUCGAGCUUCUGGACUUGUAAAAUAAGUGUAAAUGCAGUCGUAGUAAAUGCAUACCAAUCUACAAAACAAGGUAAGUGCACCAAUUCCUAUUUGCACCUUUGAAGACCGAAGAGCGUGUAAUGUAUUUGGUUGCCCUAAUCCACUCUAUUGAAGAAUCUUUCAAUAUUGAGAAUGAUCUAGUGAAGAAAGAUAUAUUUCUAAAAGGUGUGGGCAUAAGCUUCAGGGAUUUGAAAUCCAAGUUCGUGAGUGGUUGGAUCACUAAAAAGAGACAAAGAGUUGCAAGAAACAACUAUCAAGGAAAACGAAGAAGAGAAAAAUGAAAGCGAAAAGAAGCAAGCAAAUAGAUCAAGACUAUGGGAAAUCAGUGAAGUGUGCACAACAAACCGACAAUACCAAGUGAGGCUUCUACGUGACGAAGUUCAUGCACAAUAUAGUCACAAGUUGUACGGAAGUCGAAGAUCUUGAAAAGAUAUUCAACAAUCCGAGGGAGAGACCUUUUACCAUUGAGUAGAUAAAUGAAGUUCGAGAGAAGUUGGCAAACUUCAAUAUUAUUUAUUGUCUUUGAUAUUAUCUUGUAGUGAAUUUUAGAUUAUGGAUGCUAGUUUUAAUUGGAUUGUAAUGUAAUCAAUUUUUAUAUUUACAAUUACAUACUAUUCAAUUUAAUUAUCUAUAUAAUUGGAUACUUUUUUUAUGUGA